rnacentral:rRNA from 1 species
AGUGAACGCUGGCGGUAGGCCUAACACAUGCAAGUCGAACGGCAGCACAGUAAGAGCUUGCUCUUACGGGUGGCGAGUGGCGGACGGGUGAGGAAUACAUCGGAAUCUACUUUUUCGUGGGGGAUAACGUAGGGAAACUUACGCUAAUACCGCAUACGACCUACGGGUGAAAGCAGGGGAUCUUCGGACCUUGCGCGAUUGAAUUAGCCGAUGUCGGAUUAGCUAGUUGGCGGGGUAAAUGCCCACCAAGGCGACGAUCCGUAGCUGGUCUGAGAGGAUGAUCAGCCACACUGGAACUGAGACACGGUCCAGACUCCUACGGGAGGCAGCAGUGGGGAAUAUUGGACAAUGGGCGCAAGCCUGAUCCAGCCAUACCGCGUGGGUGAAGAAGGCCUUCGGGUUGUAAAGCCCUUUUGUUGGGAAAGAAAAGCAGCAGGUUAAUACCCCGCUGUUCUGACGGUACCCAAAGAAUAAGCACCGGCUAACUUCGUG